GGGGUUGUAGUCUAGCAUGGUAUGAUUCUGGUUUUGGGUACCAGGGGUCGCAGGUUCAAGUCCUGCCAACCCCA
rnacentral:tRNA from 1 species